CAUGUCCCCUGGCAAAGGGCACCUCGCUGCCACUGUCACCCAGGGGACGGGCCUGGGCCCACGACUGUCCAGCACAUCUGGACGCUCCGUGUUGCUGACAGGGAGAGCGUGGGGCUGCAUCAGGCUGUGAACGUGUCAGAGGUCGGAGGCGAGGUUCCUCGUGGAUCCGCCUGGAAGCAGCUGCCGAGCAGGCUCUUCACGUUGGCAGGAUUGGCUGUGCCCUCGAAGGGACCUGGAAGGGCGUCUGUUCCAGGCUUUGGCCUCCCUCCUGUCUCUGGGGGAACGUCCUCGGCCAACCUCACUCUCUAUCAGAAGACGAACAAGAUCAGUCCUCGUUUGUCUGAGCUGCUCCCGUCCGGCCCGUCGAGGGGUAGAGGCCGACCUCGUUCUCCUCGCUGGACACCUGUCCCCAGUGCCCUGUCUGCCGGGGCCCCGCUGAGCCGCCAGGACGACGAGGCAAAGAAAGGACUUGGAGGGUCAGCUGGCGAGGGGGACAGGGCAGAGCUCCAGGAGGAAGAAGGACCCAGAAGCAGAGGACUGAGGUGGGAACUGGGGCUGGACAGUGACCUCUGGAACCGUGUGGCCUGUGAAGCGACGAUGAUCCAAAGGGCUCCCGCGUUUGGACACUGAUGAGGCCCCGGGACGGUGGAGACCCCGGAGGAGGAGCCCGUGCGCUCUGUGCUGCUGGACCAAGAGCCCGGCGAGCACCGGGGUUAUGCGGACGGUAUUUUUAGCACCUGCAGAAACAGCAGCUCUAAGCCACUGACCGUGACAGAGGCAGAUGUUCCUGCUCCUUCCGCCCUGCUGGCUGCCUCGCGGCUCACCUCGUGGUCUCUGUUCCUAAACCAAUGAUGAUGCACCAGCUGUGCGCACCUCCCUGUGGCGUGGAGGUCACAGGCUGGCCGGCGUCAGGCAGGAUGCAGGAGAAGUCGUCCUAGUCUGCUCAGCUGCUGUAAGGAACCCCCAGACUGGGGCUUAAACAGCAGACACUCGUCUCUCGGGGGCCUGCGGGCCGGACGCCCAGGACAGGGCACCCGCGGUCGGUUCUGCUGAGGACCCGCCUCCUGGUCACCAGACGUCCAUCUUCUCACUGUGUCCUCACACGGCCAAGGGACCAGGAGCUCCCCGGGGUCUCUUGUUGUAAGGGCACUGAUCCCGUUCACGCAGCCCCCACGCUCCUGACGUGCCCUCCUUCCGAAGGCCCCACCUGUACCAUCAGGGUUCAGUCUCUGAGUUCUGGGGACACGGACACUCAGCCUGGAGCAAAAGUGGUGCAGAAAGACGCUGGGUCUCCUCUCAUCCCAGAGUCCAAGUCCAGCACUGAAACCAAAGGGGCGCUGACCCCCGCCUGGACCAGCCACGGCCCUGCCCACCUGCCAUGUGAACAGCACAGCGAGGGACGGGGGGAGCCUGGAACCCACAGGAGCCCCCAGGGGACCAACUCACGACAGCAGAGGGGCCGGAGGGAGAGGCUGUGAGUGAAGGUGGACGACCAGCUAGCUCCUCUCCAGGCAGAGAAACCCAGAGGGGCUUCCUGGAGGAGUCUCUGGAGGAACCAGAACCCCCUCCAACCCACUGCCAGCUCCUCAGGCGUCCUGGGCACCCCCGCAUCUCAGUCAAGAAGGGGACC
rnacentral:lncRNA from 1 species